UACAGAGGGGGCAAGCGUUGUCCGGAUUUACUGGGCGUAAAGAGCGCGCAGGCGGUCGAUUUAGUCGCGUGUGAAAGCCCCCGGCUCAACUGGGGAGGGUCACGCGAUACUGAUCGACUCGAAGGCAGGAGAGGGUAGUGGAAUUCCCGGUGUAGUGGUGAAAUGCGCAGAUAUCAGGAGGAACACCAAUGGCGAAGGCAGCUCGCUGGGACGUGACUGACGCUGAGACGCGAAAGCGUGGGGAGCAAACAGG
rnacentral:rRNA from 1 species